UACGGAGGGUGCAAGCGUUAUCCGGAUUUACUGGGCUUAAAGGGUGCGUAGGUGGAUUUGUAAGUCAGUGGUGAAAUCCCCGAGCUCAACUCGGAAACUGCCAUUGAUACUAUAAGUCUUGAAUGUUCUAGAGGUGAGCGGAAUAUGUCAUGUAGCGGUGAAAUGCUUAGAUAUGACAUAGAACACCAAUGGCGAAGGCAGCUCACUGGGGGAUUAUUGACACUGAGGCACGAAAGCGUGGGGAUCAAACAGG
rnacentral:rRNA from 1 species